rnacentral:lncRNA from 1 species
AGAAAGGGUCUUAAUUACAAUAUUUAAACUUUUCCAGGAAUUUAAAAUAUUCCUAAGUACAUAAUUGAACUGUUACUUAGUUCACUUGAAAAAUGAAGUCCAUUUUGUCAGGCCAUUAUAAAGUCUUCACAUUUCAUACUUUUUUAAGAGAAUAAUUGUGAGCCCUAUAUUUAUACAGAGUAAACUAGGGUUGAUGUAAUAUUCAAAUCAGAAUACUUCCAUUUUCUGUGGGACUCAAAUCAAAUAAAGACUAUUUUCUUUCUGUAUUAUUGGUAGGAUUUUGGGAUUAUCAGAAUAGGCUUUGUACCUGUUUGUAUUACGUAGAUAAAGCUGAAAAAAUAACCAUGAAAAGUUGUGUUCUAGCAGAAGUAGUUAGAUAAUAAUGGUGCUAACCUUUCAGAUUAGUGGGACGGACAGGACAGGGCCUUUUGUUAUUGCUUGUUUUUUGAGAUAGGGUUUCUCUGUAUAGUGCUGGCUCAGAACAGGUUGGCCUUGAGCUCAGAUACCCUCCUGCCUCUGCCUCCGGAGUCCUGGGAUUAAAGGUGCAAGCUACCAUACCUGGCCCUGAGAAAGGACAGAUUUUUUUUCUAAAGUGUUUAUUUAUUUACCUUGUGUGUUUGAAUAUUUUGUUCACAUGCACAUACCUGCACCAUGUAUGCCUGUAGGAUCCCCAGAAACAGGCUGUAGACGAUUGUGGGUGUACCACAGUAUAUGCCAGCAUGGAGGUGCUAGGAAUCAGCCCAGGUCCUAUGUAAGAACAGUAAGUGCUCUGAAUUACCUAGCCAUCUCUCCAGCCUCAGAGCAGACUUGUAAAUGAUUGUGCUGCUUAAUAUGUUUUGUUAAACAAAAUAUUAAAAUAUUAAUAUUUAAACUUAAAAUAUUUUUCUGUUCCUGGCUUAUACUAUAUACUAAACAAGGGUCAGAUAUACAUAUGAAUGUACAUAUAAAUCUUUAGGCUUACAUGUAAUAAAGAAGUGAUAUACAUACAAAAGAGAAUAUGGGUGCAUAUUUAAUUUCCAAGUAGUUCACACUUUAUAGCAUGAUAUAUUAUAAAAAGAAAAGGUAGUCGGUUCUGUUGCAGCAGAGAUAAGUCACAGGCUGAGGAAGGAUAAACACAAAGCCAUAAUAAUAGCUCUUUGGACCCAGAGGAUAAAGUUACAUAUAGGAGAAGUGCUUUGUAGCCCUCCCAGGCUUUGCCUCCUACCUGAGUUGGCAAAGGUUGCUGGAGCCACAGAUGUCCCAGCACCCUGCCUGUUGCCUCUUGUCGCCACAUGGUAGAGCAGAUGAAGCUCCAUAUUUUUUUUUCUUAAAGAUUUAUUUAUUAUAUGUGAGUACACUCUAGCUGUUUUCAGACACACCAUAAGAGGGCACCAGAUCUCAUUGCGGAUGGUUGUGAACCACCACGUGGUUGCUGGGAUUUGAACUCAAGAUCUUCAGAAGAGCAGUCAGUGCUCUUAACCGCUGAGCCAUCUCUCCAGCCCUGAAGCUUAAGUGUGUAAGCAAUAAGACCCAGGCUCACCUAAGAUCUCACCAGGGCCACAUUGCGGCACAUUGCAGCUGCUGCACGAGCAUCAUAGGAUAUAGAAGUACAUCCAGCACACCAUUCGUUCAUUCAUGGAACGGGAGUGGUGCUUACCCAGGGCUGUGGGUACUGUUUGAUAUGCUACACACAGCAGAAGUGAAGAUCCUACCAUAGCAGUGGGCUGUGAGGGAAGAGAGGAGAAGAGACAAUAAAUAAGAAUUAUUCUCUGAAACAGCUGCAGAAUAGCCGUGGUAUGAAGUCCUACCCAUCCUUUUGAGAAAGGGUCUCACUAUGUAGUCCAGGCUGACCUAGACUUCAUGAUCCUCCUGCCUCCGCCUCCAGAGUGUUGGAGUUACAUGUGCUACGAUCCUAGAGCAAUCUUAAUCCUCUUAAUUGCAAUGCUUGGUUUAUAUGGGACAUGAAAUUGAGCGAUACCCAGCUGGCAUGGAGCUCACUCUACAGCCCAAGAUGAUCUGGGCUUUUAGCCUCUCAGGGGCUGGGAUUCCAGGUGUGAGUCGGCAUGCCUGGUUUCUGGUCUGUCCUCACUGUCUGUUACAGGGGCUCCAUGGGUGGGAUCUGUUGCAUUCCCCCUUUCUCUUUCUCCUUUGCCUGCUCACUAACUUGUAAAUAUGCACUCACAUAAGAACUGGCAUAAGAUAGGGACCCAGAAUGGGGAGCUGCUGUCUGUAUUACAUCCCUAAUGGUGUUUUAGGUUUUGUUUCUGUUUUUGCCUUUUUGUGGGGAGUGGGAGUGGGGGGAGACUGAGGCAAGACACACAUAAAAUUAUACAUUGCCAUUUUGAGACCAGCUAAGACACCCUACUAAGUUUGAGAUCAACCUAGACUAUGUAAAGAGAACUGCCUCAAAAAAAUGUCUCAAAAAACAAAACAGAAAGCCCUCAUGUAUUAAUAACCGGAGGAAUGUACACUGUUAUACCUAUUUUGAAAAACUUUACAAGUUAACAUUGCCAUAUGACCCAGGGGUUUUGUUAACCAUAAGUCAAAGAGGAAUGAAAACAUCAAUUUAAGACUCACACAUGAAUGUUGAUAGCAAAAAAUUUCAUUAUUCCUGUUU